GACGAACGCUGGCGGCGUGGAUUAGGCAUGCAAGUCGAACGGUAUCAUCCUUUCGGGGGUGAGAGAGUGGCGAACUGGUGAGUAACACGUAGGUUAAUCUACCCUCAAGACGGGGACAACCCAGGGAAACUUGGGCUAAUACCGGAUGUGAGCAACUUUUAGUUGUUUGAAAGGUGGCGUAAGCUGUCGCUUGGGGAUGAGCCUGCGUCCUAUUAGUUAGUUGGUGAGGUAACGGCUCACCUAGGCAAUGAUAGGUAGGCGGCCUUAACGGGUGGUCGCCCACACUGGGAUUGAGAUACGGCCCAGACUCCUACGGGAGGCAGCAGUCGAGAAUAGUCUACAAUGGUCGGAAGACUGAUAGUGCGACGCCGCGUGAACGAUGAAUCCCUUCGGGGUGUAAAGUUCUUUUAUAUGUGAGCAGUGCUUCUUAUAUUAACAGUAUGGGGAGAGAGAUAUUAGCAUAUGAAUAAAGCAAACGGCUAAACUCCGUGCCCAGCAAGCCCGCGGUAAA
rnacentral:rRNA from 1 species